AUUGAACGCUGGCGGCAGGCUUAACACAUGCAAGUCGAGCGGGGUGAUGGUGCUUGCACUAUCACUUAGCGGCGGACGGGUGAGUAAUGCUUAGGAAUCUGCCUAUUAGUGGGGGACAACAUCUCGAAAGGGAUGCUAAUACCGCAUACGUCCUACGGGGGAAAGCAGGGGAUCACUUGUGAUCUUGCGCUAAUAGAUGAGCCUAAGUCGGAUUAGCUAGUUGGUGGGGUAAAGGCCUACCAAGGCGACGAUCUGUAGCGGGUCUGAGAGGAUGAUCCGCCACACUGGGACUGAGACACGGCCCAGACUCCUACGGGAGGCAGCAGUGGGGAAUAUUGGACAAUGGGGGGAACCCUGAUCCAGCCAUGCCGCGUGUGUGAAGAAGGCCUUAUGGUUGUAAAGCACUUUAAGCGAGGAGGAGGCUCUUUUGGUUAAUACCCAGAAUGAGUGGACGUUACUCGCAGAAUAAGCACCGGCUAACUCUGUGCCAGCAGCCGCGGUAA
rnacentral:rRNA from 1 species